UGAUCCAGCCAUCCCGCGUGUGCGAUGAAGGCCUUCGGGUUGUAAAGCACUUUUGGCAGGAAAGAAACGUCGCGGGUUAAUACCCCGCGGAACUGACGGUACCUGCAGAAUAAGCACCGGCUAACUACGUGCCAGCAGCCGCGGUAAUACGUAGGGUGCAAGCGUUAAUCGGAAUUACUGGGCGUAAAGCGUGCGCAGGCGGUUCGGAAAGAAAGAUGUGAAAUCCCAGAGCUUAACUUUGGAACUGCAUUUUUAACUACCGGGCUAGAGUGUGUCAGAGGGAGGUGGAAUUCCGCGUGUAGCAGUGAAAUGCGUAGAUAUGCGGAGGAACACCGAUGGCGAAGGCAGCCUCCUGGGAUAACACUGACGCUCAUGCACGAAAGCGUGGGGAGCAAACAGGAUUAGAUACCCUGGUAGUCCACGCCCUAAACGAUGUCAAAUGGCUGUUGGGGCCUUCGGGCCUUGGUAGCGCAGCUAACGCGUGAAGUGACCG
rnacentral:rRNA from 1 species